AGGGUUUGAUCAUGGCUCAGAUUGAACGCUGGCGGCAGGCCUAACACAUGCAAGUCGAGCGGUAGAGAGAAGCUUGCUUCUCUUGAGAGCGGCGGACGGGUGAGUAAUGCCUAGGAAUCUGCCUGGUAGUGGGGGAUAACGUUCGGAAACGGACGCUAAUACCGCAUACGUCCUACGGGAGAAAGCAGGGGACCUUCGGGCCUUGCGCUAUCAGAUGAGCCUAGGUCGGAUUAGCUAGUUGGUGAGGUAAUGGCUCACCAAGGCGACGAUCCGUAACUGGUCUGAGAGGAUGAUCAGUCACACUGGAACUGAGACACGGUCCAGACUCCUACGGGAGGCAGCAGUGGGGAAUAUUGGACAAUGGGCGAAAGCCUGAUCCAGCCAUGCCGCGUGUGUGAAGAAGGUCUUCGGAUUGUAAAGCACUUUAAGUUGGGAGGAAGGGUUGUAGAUUAAUACUCUGCAAUUUUGACGUUACCGACAGAAUAAGCACCGGCUAACUCUGUGCCAGCAGCCGCGGUAAUACAGAGGGUGCAAGCGUUAAUCGGAAUUACUGGGCGUAAAGCGCGCGUAGGUGGUUUGUUAAGUUGGAUGUGAAAUCCCCGGGCUCAACCUGGGAACUGCAUUCAAAACUGACUGACUAGAGUAUGGUAGAGGGUGGUGGAAUUUCCUGUGUAGCGGUGAAAUGCGUAGAUAUAGGAAGGAACACCAGUGGCGAAGGCGACCACCUGGACUAAUACUGACACUGAGGUGCGAAAGCGUGGGGAGCAAACAGGAUUAGAUACCCUGGUAGUCCACGCCGUAAACGAUGUCAACUAGCCGUUGGAAGCCUUGAGCUUUUAGUGGCGCAGCUAACGCAUUAAGUUGACCGCCUGGGGGAGUACGGGCCGCAAGG
rnacentral:rRNA from 1 species